AAGUUUUCUAAUAUUUAUCUUAUUUUAAAUAUAAGAAACUUCCUGUGUAAGUAAAAGGGUUAGUGUUGCUAUCAUCCUAGCAACAAAGUGAAUUUUGGUGUUACAUUCCUUAAAUAUUCCAAAAAUUAUAUAGGGUAAAUGUGCCAAAUUUCGGCAUAGUUGCAUGCAAGCGCCAAAGUCUCGAGUUUGAAAUGUAAUAUUUUAAAUUCAAAUUGAUUUUUUUUAUUCUUUCUUCUUAAAGACUGUUGCUUGGAACCUUGUAGAAAAUUUAUGGUCUUUAUUUACUUUAAAAUCAUUCUUAAUACAUUUUAAAACGAAUAAAAAUGUAGACAUAGCUUUGGUGGCCUAUUUCGGCCACCUUCAUUUUCAUAGUUCUUGCGCUUCGGGAAAUUUUUCAAGGUCUUUUUCACGUCAUCUCGUUUGUCGAAGCUACAUUUUUUUGUUAUUCUUUUGUAAUGUACGUAAUAUCUCUAGAGUACGUAAAAUCUAAAAGUUCAUGGAAAUUCGAGGAACAAAAAAGGUGGCCGGAAUUGCAAGCUGGCCGGAAUUUGGCACACUUACCCUAAGUAUUUAUUUUAGGUUUUCUAUUUUCUCUCAGUGUAAAAAUCAGUUUAUUCUUGAUUCCAAAAAUAUUUUAUCUCAACGUUUUCAAUGUACUAUCAGCUUCUAAAUCCAAUUGCAAUAGCUGUGUCGCAACUUCUUAAUUCUCUUUUUUUUCGGCAAGAAAAUCCCGCAAUACAACUGAUAUUUCAAAAAUUCAGGUUAAGUUCAUUUUUUUCCACACUAGUGCACAAUCUGAACUCUUUUCUGUGCUCUCUAUUUUCCGUUUGUUUCACUUCAAAUUGAUAAAUCCACAAAUAAAACUUACUGAACAAAUUUUAACUGUCUUUCGACAUCUUUCAAGAGGUGGUUUGUCUAGUUUUUUUUUUGGGUGGUUUGCAACGGGCGAAAGGAAAAGAACCUUGAUUGCUGAAUUAGAUCUUUUUGUGGUAGCAAGAAGUCAUUUUUGAAAUGUACUUUUUCCCACGAAAAUUUAACAUUGUUUUCCGUCAAUGAUUCAUAAAAAUAUUUUUAUACAUAUGGACUCACGGGGCCACGAAUUUUGCAUGUGAUCAAUUGGGGAUAUUCACCAUCAAUUGAUUUUUUUUGUCUAAGUGCGUGCUGGUGAUUCGUAACCGUCAAUGCAAGAAGUAUGAUGUCAUCAAUCAAAUAUCCUGGUCCACCAUGAUUUACACAAUCAGCAUUUCUCUCUUUUUUCAAUUAAAUCCCACUUUUUGUUGUGGUUUGAAGUGAUGUGCCCUCAUAGUUUGGCAUCAAUUUUAUUAUUUAUUAAAUUAGUAAGAAUAGUAAUCUUUCUCGGGUUUUACGAUGAUUGAGCCUCGUGACUUCGAUCAAAAGACCUGCACUAAGCUUGGAAUUGACACUCAGAUGAGGCAAAAGAGAAAGAAUUACUGAGAAUUCUUAUUCCCUCUUCUAAUUUAUUUUAUUUUUAGGGAAAAUUACAAGUCAAGAUAUUCCCUCGAUGCAAUAACAAUACGAUCAUCAUGUCACAAUGAUUAAUACUUCCUGCAUUGUUUACUUCAUUAUUGACAUGGUGUCAUAAAUGUCUUGAAGGGCCUUUUUUUUUUACUUUGUUCCUUUUUGGUCUCACAAUAUGCCUUCUUUUGCAUAUAUAGAUUUUUAUUUCUUACCACUAAAAUAUGUUAUAUCAUAUUAACCCCAGGCCAUAAAAAACACCCGUGCGUCGGUGAGGGAAAACAUAGUGAAUAAACAUGAAUCAAAAAGUAUAUAUAUGGGGAUUCAAUAUAAGGAACCCAUCAUUAUCCAUGGAGGGCAUUAAACCCUUUUUUUUACCCUUACUCUCCCUCGCUCAACCACAAUUUAUAUUUCGGGUAAAAAUUAUUAAUUUCACGUUACAAUUAGAAUGAAAAGUACAGUCAAGGUAAACAACCCUCUUGUUUGAGAGUUUUUCUUCAACAGAAUUGCCGUGUCAUAUGAAUAUUGUAUAUCAAAAAUACCAUGGUACGUCUUUCAAAUGUCUCUUUGGAGACUUUGUGGGAAAAGGUAGAAAGUUUAUAUAAGUUCUUCCGGUGAAUUUUGAAGAAAUACUCUGAUGGAUCACAAAGAGGCAGAGGCCACGUCUUUGGUCGCCAAAAACGUGUAAUUUAAUUUAGGAUGAUCGUAAGCACAAAAAAAAGAGAAGAGACUUCUUUUAAACCCUCCCCACUGUGUGCAUUCACGCACUUCAUUAACACGGGAAAAAGUGGAACAGAGGGACCAAAGAGGAAGAACAACCAGGGGAGAUUGACGUGGAUCUUGUGUCCAAAUGAAGAAGAAAAAAAAAACUUUUUUUUUUAAAUGAUAGUACUACCUCAAUUUUGAGGCAUUCAGUCUGUCUGGCGUCUGGAAUUAUCGCAUUCGACAUAGGGGUAAGGGUAUAUACGGUUUUUUUUUUGCACACAGCAGACUUGCAAACUCCUGAAUCGCCCUUCAUUUUCGCGCGUAAUGGGUGCAUUACACUCUCUCAAACCCCCAUUUUCUGACAACCAAAUACACACAACAUCACCCUCAGUCCAAAGUUCAUUUGAGUCUCCUACGCAGUAAUUGAGCACCCAUACCUUACCCAACCAGAAAAUGCUCCCCACCUCCCAAAAAAAAAAAAAAAAAUAGGGAGAAAAAAAAACGCCGCAGUGAUGACUGGAGGGAACGACCCGACUUGGAGGGUUGACGCAAGUUUGGCGAGUGUUCGACCCCUCGUGAACGCAACGGAGACAGAGGUGGUCGGGGUGGAGAUAGACUGUUACGGGGUUCAGCCGUCGCGACGUCGCAAUCCCUAACCUACCCUAUUUCACGGGUGUGAUGCCCCAAAAUAUCUCCUCUCCUUGCUAGCUCGCACCAAUACAGGCACACAAAAACUCCGGGAUGCUGGGAUACUAUCCAGUUCGAAAAACGGAGGAAGAGGGGGGGGAUUAUAUCGACAAGUCUGGGUAGCAACCAAUACCUUCCGCAUUACUAAUACCAUGGCAAAGAAGUAGACGUAAUUUUUUUUUCCAACUUUGACGACCGCCAAAAGGUCAACGACAAACCUGUUUCAAGAUGUCCCACUAGACCUAGGUUUUCUAGUACCAAUCCCAACCCCUACCGAUAGAAAUAUUCAUUAGAUCCGGGGAAAACCAAUAUCCUCCAGGUUCGUCGCCCUCGGGACUCGUCCCAAUUUACUCUUACAUCCACAUUUUCUACACUGUUGAAUGGUGGGUCCGUAAAAUUGCGCAUGAGUCACUACGGCUGCGAAGAGGGGGCAGGCGAGGUCUAUGUACAAGAAUAAUAUAAAAGCAAAUCUCAUAUGUGUUUUAUGGGUAGAUUCAGCGAAAAUGGCAAUGAGAUUUUGCUAAAGAACACACAUACAAGGUCUUAUGAGUCUAGACGCAAAACCCUGCGUCCGUCCUCAUUCCUGGCCCGACGUCGUCCAUCAAACCCUACCCCACCAGACGCAGUGGGGUAGCCCGAAUGUAUAUACGGGAGUGAGUACGAAAGUUCUUCUUGCGGAUGAUGAUGAUGAUGGGUAGGAAAAGCAUUGACGGAUGUGCGCGAGUGAGAGAGAUUGGGUAUUGGGAAAGGGUAGGGUAUACCCCAAGCGCAUUGGCACGCAAGCGCUAAACUACCAUUGGGAUUUUCCUCUCCUUCACACACAUUUGCAAACAAUUUCAACGAGAAAAAAAGAAUACUGUGGGGUAUAUAGGAGAGUUCAAACAUGCCUGAAGAAUUCAAGGCAUUCUCUCUCUGGGUAUCCCAUCUCACUCUGGAUCAUGGGGUUCUGUAGGGGGGCAGAGAAACCUGAAGAUGUGUCAGACUGAAAGAGAUGUGAUACUUUUGUCUCACAAACAUUAUUCCCCUCUCUUGUGUAUAUUGUGGCUGUAUUAUCGCAAUAUAGCGCCCCCCAAAAUGAUGAUUAGAGUCAGUAAGCGCGGUGCUGUUGCUCGGUUGAUGCGGCGGUGGAGAAAAUUUUCCCAACAGCGUACUACUGAAUACAAACGUAUUGGGUGAUGCCUCAACAAAGAUUCUAUUUCACCAUUUAGUCUCUCCCUGACUCACAAUCUGACAGCAACGCAUCGGAGAGGACCAUUCCUGGAUUCUUUUUUUCUUUUUUUUUUUUUAUAAAUUUCAAAAAGCACUUUCAAGACAACUCCACCAUUUUCUCCAGUUGCCAUUCAACGGCUACCAGUGCUUCAAAUCGGUUCUUACAAAUUAUUCCUCCUCAUUACCAAAAGUUAAGCUGUGAAGUGAUUUUGCAAUGUGUAGUGACUACCUAUGAGAUAAACUCAUGAGUGUGCCGUGUUGUAGUUGGGAUAUGUGAGUAGUGUAUGGAAUUCAGAAUGACCAAGACGGUAUUUUUGAAAAUUUACUGCAUAACUCUGGGUUGACGUCAGCACGACGUUGGAGCAAAGCACAUAUGGUUGAGCUUAUUUGCUUCUUUUGCUCUCACAAAAAUGCGAUAAUUUCCAUGGUAAUCAUUUUGCAACUGACAUUGGCUAAAUCACCUCAUUGUGCUGCAGAAUGAGGGCAAAGAAUUAAAAUUUUGGAGAGGAAGGGGACAUCUUUAGAGGAUAUGAUAGGAUGCUCCUGUCUCAACCUGAUUGGAUUACCUACAAUUGAAUAUCCUCUACGGAUUCAUCUCAAACAACAAUUUCCAGACGGUGUAUAUUCAGCAUAUGAACGAAAAAUUGUCCCGAAGACAAAUGGAAAGCCCCCUUCGAAAAUAAUCAUCUGGUUUUUCGAGGGAGAGAGAGAGGUAUGUGCGAAUUUAACGUGGAAUGUUCUGGCCAGGGACACAAAGGCCGACAGUCUCGAGAUUGGGUGAGAUUUGAGGAUGAAAGGUAUGUGAUCGGGGGCAAACAAGGGUAUAGUAUUUGAAAUUUGCCAGACAAGAAAGAGAGGUGUCAGUGAACUGGUUUAUUUGGCCAUAGGGUAACCCCUUAUCAAGGCCAUGGUAUGUCUGGACAAAAAUCUAACUCUUGAAUCCCUGCUAUGAAAUGUUCUUAUGAUUUUUUUCUUGUUGUCUGUGAUCAUUUUGGUGGUUGCUGAAUUUCGAGGAAUCCUUGAGACACCAAUUCAAACCUCAAAAUUUGUGAAGUGUACAUUUCAGAAAUGGUAUAACAUCUGUAGGAACCACCAAAAGCACAGCUACGGAGCAAGAGAGAGAGAGGGACUCUUCUGCCCACCUGCUGCUUGAUUAACAAUUAUUACUCCGCCCAGGUAUUGGCGAGGCGCAGAGUGUUGCGAAGAUCAACAGACACAUCGUGCACUUUGUGGCCGGAGCAGCGAAGCACCGACGGCGCCUCUCUGUUGUUGCUGAAGAAUGCAACGGAGGAGUUUAAUGCACCGUGAAAUUGGGUGAACAAAAGUCUACUGACUGGUAAACCCUCGUGCCAGCACCGCUAUUUACCAAUCCGGAAUAUUGUUUGGUAUCGAUACCUUACAGUAUGAUCAUUUAUGGGUGAUAAUGUCUUCACACUUUCCUGGAUGAGAGUGAAAGAUGUCACUCAUUCCUCUCGUUCUGUAAUAACCUUCCCGCUUUGAGAGCUCUCUCCGGUUGAGGUUUUUCCUUUACCGAUUCAAAAGUAUAUCAGAGAGAACUUACCUAAAAACCCAUUGGAAGUUCGAACGUUUAAACCGACGAGUUACACAAAAGUGAAUAAGAUCAUGAAAUGGACAUUUAUCUUAAUAAAAUUGCAAUUAAAACGUU